rnacentral:lncRNA from 1 species
AUGUUAGAAGCGAAAGUUGGCAUAAGCCCGUCAUGUGCUCGGAAGCUAGAAGACGCUCCGCUGUGCCAGUCGUGGGCUAAAGAGAGUACACCCAGCAUCACACGGGACCUGCCCCGAGGGGUCGAGGAAACACGAGUUCUCACGAUUGGCGCGAGGCGGGCACGAGGUCCCUCCAGGGCGACCAGUGGCCUUCGGACCCCUACCGGACAAGAGGGCAGUUGGAAGGGGAUGAUCCGAACGUCAGACGGUGGCAUGGACCGUCCGCCCUACUCCCCACAGUGUCUCGUUCUCGGUCCGGAGCCAGACACGGGUUGGGCGGGACCCAAAAGGAAGCGCCAUCAACAGGCCCUCGAUCUCGUGAGCGGCGCUGGCUUGUCGGGAACGGUGAAGAAGCUGCCAUGUUGUUUUUUGGCCACGGGCACCUCUGUUCGCUGCUUCUGAGAACCUUCAGGUGACUUUUCUUUUUUUCUUUAAAAAAAACCAUUUUUUUUAAUGUUUGAUUUUUGAGACAGAGAGAGAGACAGAGCACGAGUGGGGGAAGGGCAGAGAGACACACACAGCAUCCGAAGCAGGCCCCAGGCCCCGAGCUGUCAGCACAGAGCCCGACGAGGGGCCCAAACUCACAAACGGGGAGAUCGUGACCUGAGCCGAUGUCAGACAUCCAACCGGCUGAGCCACCCAGGCGCCCCUCAGGUGACUUUUCUAACCGGAGAUGCGGAAAGUCGCGUAAAAGCAGUGACCAUGCACCAGCCACGUCUUCAUGGCCUGAGUUAGGUCACGUCGGCUCAGGGACACGCGGGAGGAGCUCCCCAAACACGGCUUUAGUUGCACGGCCUGAACGGAGCUGAGGAAGAAUUCACUAUUUUUCUGCCUAAAUGUCAUCACCAAGCUUUAAAUAGGUUGGAUUCAGUGAGUCCUUGAACACAUUUGGUUAAUCAGUGUCUCCCUGCCCCUUGGUCUUUAAAUGCAAGUGGGUUUUAAAGGAAAUUAUGACUCAUAUGUUUCUAAUUCUCUUAUUCUUGCUGAAACUUAUCUAACGUUGCUUUGUAAUAGUUAUCUGAUGUCUGAAAGUUUUUGAACUUUUAACUGUUUUCCCAAAGUCAGGACCUUAUGUUCAGAAAAACAAUUAGCUCAAAACCCUACAUUUUUCAACUCUGAACUCAUGAGGUUUGCAAUGACUUUUAUACGUGAGCAAAUGUUAUUCUCUACAAAAAGCUGAGGAUUAAAUCAUCGAAUUCCCAUUUUCCAUGUGGCACCGUAGGUGGGGAACAAGGAGACCGGCCUUCAGCUUUGCAUGGGGGCGGUGCAUCCGCGUGAGCAACGCCCCCUCUGGCUGGGGACGGUGACGGGCAAGGUCCAGGCGCUGGGACGGGGGUCGGGGGCCUGCCCUCUACAGGAUUCGGUCCCCACAGAUGUCCACGUUGUGUUUGAGGAGAGGCAU